GUUGGUGGAUCAAGCCAAUCAAGAACUUGCUUACUUCGACACUGCCAAGGCUGCUCCAUUAUACCAUUUCGCUAACUAUAUUGCCAGUCGACAAAAUUAAUUUCGUGGGUUUAUUAUUAUAUAAAAUUUACUUGUAUCCAUCAAUGUCUUCAUCUCUUGGUUUAAAGAUUUAAAAAUACAUAGAGAUAGAGAGAUAUAGUUCCUGUUAA
rnacentral:misc_RNA from 1 species